GACGAACGCUGGCGGCGUGCCUAACACAUGCAAGUCGAACGGGGUGAUUUCUUCGGAGAUCACUUAGUGGCGAACGGGUGAGUAACGCGUGAGAAACCUGCCUUUCAGUGGGGGACAACAGUUGGAAACGACUGCUAAUACCGCAUAAUGUUAUUUGGGGGCAUCCCCGAAUAACCAAAGAUUUAUUGCUGAAAGAUGGUCUCGCGUCUGAUUAGCUAGUUGGUGAGGUAACGGCUCACCAAGGCGACGAUCAGUAGCCGGUCUGAGAGGAUGAACGGCCACAUUGGGACUGAGAUACGGCCCAGACUCCUACGGGAGGCAGCAGUGGGGAAUAUUGGGCAAUGGGGGAAACCCUGACCCAGCAACGCCGCGUGAAGGAAGAAGGCC
rnacentral:rRNA from 1 species